GAAUAUUGGACAAUGGGGGGAACCCUGAUCCAGCCAUGCCGCGUGUGUGAAGAAGGCCUUUUGGUUGUAAAGCACUUUAAGCGAGGAGGAGGCUACCUGGAUUAAUCCUUUCGGCUAGUGGACGUUACUCGCAGAAUCAGCACCGGCUAACGCUGUACCCGCAGCCGCGGUAAUACAGAGGGUGCGAGCGUUCAUCGGAUUUACUGGGCGUAAAGCGUGCGUAGGCGGCCAAUUAAGUCAAAUGUGAAAUCCCCGAGCUUAACUUGGGAAUUGCAUUCGAUACUGGUUGGCUAGAGUAUGGGAGAGGAUGGUAGAAUUCCUGGUGUAGCGGUGAAAUGCGUAGAGAUCUGGAGGAAUACCGAUGGCGAAGGCAGCCAUCUGGCCUAAUACUGACGCUGAGGUACGAAAGCAUGGGGAGCAAACAG
rnacentral:rRNA from 1 species